rnacentral:rRNA from 1 species
UACGUAGGGUGCGAGCGUUGUCCGGAAUUAUUGGGCGUAAAGAGCUCGUAGGCGGUUUGUUGCGUCUAUCGUGAAAACCUGCAGCUUAACUGUGGGCUUGCGGUGGAUACGGGCAGACUUGAGUUCGGUAGGGGAGACUGGAAUUCCUGGUGUAGCGGUGAAAUGCGCAGAUAUCAGGAGGAACACCGGUGGCGAAGGCAGCUCGCUGGGACGGUACUGACGCUGAGGCGCGAAAGCGUGGGGAGCGAACAGG